GCCUGGUGUGUUGGCAUGCACCUGUAGUCCUAGCUGCUUGGGAGGCUGAGGCAGGAGGAUUGCUUGAGCUCAGGAGGUCAAGGCUGCAGUGAGCUAUGAUCAUGCCACUGCACUCCAGCCUGGGCAACAGAGCAAGAUCCUGUACCAA
rnacentral:SRP_RNA from 1 species